rnacentral:rRNA from 1 species
CCUACGGGAGGCAGCAGUGGGGAAUUUUGGACAAUGGGGGCAACCCUGAUCCAGCCAUGCCGCGUGAGUGAAGAAGGCCUUCGGGUUGUAAAGCUCUUUCGGCCGGGAAGAAAUCGCACAGGCUAAUACCCUGUGUGGAUGACGGUACCGGCAUAAGAAGCACCGGCUAACUACGUGCCAGCAGCCGCGGUAAUACGUAGGGUGCGAGCGUUAAUCGGAAUUACUGGGCGUAAAGCGUGCGCAGGCGGUUAGAUAAGUUUGAUGUGAAAUCCCCGGGCUCAACCUGGGAACUGCAUUGAAGACUGUCUGACUAGAGUACGGCAGAGGGGGGUGGAAUUCCACGUGUAGCAGUGAAAUGCGUAGAGAUGUGGAGGAACACCGAUGGCGAAGGCAGCCCCCUGGGCCGAUACUGACGCUCAUGCACGAAAGCGUGGGGAGCAAACAGGAUUAGAUACCCUGGUAGUCCACGCCCUAAACGAUGUCAACUAGUUGUUGGUAGGGUUAAACCUAUUAGUAACGUAGCUAACGCGUGAAGUUGACCGCCUGGGGAGUACGGUCGCAAGAUUAAAACUCAAAGGAAUUGACGG